GACGAACGCUGGCGGCGUGCUUAACACAUGCAAGUCGAACGGAAAGGCCCUGCUUUUGUGGGGUGCUCGAGUGGCAAACGGGUGAGUAACACGGGAGUAACCUGCCCUUGACUUUGGGAUAACUUCAGGAAACUGGGGCUAAUACCGGAUAGGAGCUCCUGCUGCAUGGUGGGGGUUGGAAAGUUUCGGCGGUUGGGGAUGGACUCGCGGCUUUCCAGCUUGUUGGUGGGGUAGUGGCUUACCAAGGCUUUGACGGGUAGCCGGCCUGAGAGGGUGACCGGCCACAUUGGGACUGAGAUACGGCCCAGACUCCUACGGGAGGCAGCAGUGGGGAAUAUUGCACAAUGGGCGGAAGCCUGAUGCAGCAACGCCGCGUGCGGGAUGACGGCCUUCGGGUUGUAAACCGCUUUCGCCUGUGACGAAGCGUGAGUGACGGUAAUGGGUAAAGAAGCACCGGCUAACUACGUG
rnacentral:rRNA from 1 species